rnacentral:snRNA from 1 species
UAGACCGUCGUGAGACAG